GUUAAGCGUCAAACCUCGUCCGAUCACCGAAGUUAAACAACGUUGCCUUUGGUCAGUACUCGGAUGGGUGACCGCUGGGAAAUACCAGGCACUGUAU